GGAAAGACUUGGAGGCGGCCAUUGGUGACCAAUUCAUUUCAGUUGCAGAAAUGUAUUAUGGACAUUCUGACCAUGAGCAGUACGGUGCAGGUGGGCAUAUGAGUCAUGCCACAGCUCCCGGAUUCCAUAAUCCUAGCCCAGCACCACCACCACGUUAUACUGCCCGUAUGUUGUACAGCAUCCCGGCGGCACCAUCCGCUGGUCUUCUGGUCUCUGCCACUGCUGUGAUCAUCCUGAAAACUGUUUGAUCACUUGCGUUUGCCCUUGCAUCACAUUUGGGCAGAUUGCUGAGAUAGUGAGCAAAGGAUCCCCAAAUUGUGCGGUGAGUGGUACGAUCUAUACGGUAUUGUGUUUCAUUGGUUUGCCGUGCUUGUAUUCUUGUGUCUAU